GGUCCCCAGAACUGCAGUCUUUGCCUGCUUAGGAAUGGAGGAUGAAUGGAGAGUUAACCUGGAGAAGUAACAAAGAAAAGGGUCAUCCACAUCCUUUCGAUGUUUAUCUAAAGAGUUCGAGCCUUUCCCUUGUAUGACAAGUUUUUAAGCCAAGUGAUUCUAUACAAAGAGGAGCGCCAACUCCUCUGAUGACCUGCUGGCAAUGAGCAGGAACCUCUGUCUCCAGAGGACUUGUGGGAUGUGCUGUAGGGGAUGCACACCCAUUGUGGAGAGCUGUUUUAUAUUGGGCAGUUCAGGGCCAGGCUUUGUGAGCUAUGGACCAGCCGAGUAGCUAAAUGAAAAGGAGAUAGAUGUGUCAUAUGUGAAAAUAAAGGACCCAGAGGAUGAAGAUGAACAAUGAACUAACAACAUGGUGUCAGCGACGAACAGUCUGUAAAGAGCAAUGGUGGAAGGCCACAAGAAAAGUUCAGUUCAUCAAAACUGAGAAAGAAUCAGAAACUAAAUGCCAAUGUUUGGUUUUUACAAAGAGGGAAGCAAGCAAGUGUGGUGCUCACUGUUCAUAAUUCUCCUGUUUUGAGUUAAGUGGACUGGACAUCAGAGACCAGCUAUUCAUCAAAGAGAUCCUGGGAAGUUGGCCGUUUUCAUUUUGGUUGGUUUGUAUUUCCUUGGUUUAUUUAUUAUUUAAUUUUUAGUGC
rnacentral:lncRNA from 1 species